CACAAAAAUCCCUUGUUAAGCACCCAUUUCCUGGUACAUUAAGACCACAGCUGUGGACAAAUGGGGAAAACCAAAUAUCCUUUGUGUCUCAUAUGUCCAGCACUCCAAAUGUCUCAGGCAUUCACGUCUCUGCACAUAUCCCCAGGCCUUUUGAGGUGAAACUCUGUACAAUUGAAAAGAACUCUACUCUUUCCAGGGCCGUGGGUAUGUCAAGAGCUGUGUGAGACCCUGAACUCCUACAUAAGGUGACCCAGAGAAGACUUUAUCAAUGCCAGAUGAGAGAUCUUUGUCUCUGCUCUCCACCAGACCCCUGCUCAUUCAUUCUGAGGCCCCAAAUCAACAGUGCGUUGCUUUUAGUGAUAAUUCCUCCUGUGGCUGCCCACCUGAGGAUUUCUGGCAUGGAUGCAGGUUGCUUAAACACUUCGCUAAGAAGAGAGCAUUGUAAGAAGAAAUUAAAAAAUUGCAGCACCGGAAGUUCAAGUCAAUUCUAUUGGAAGCUGGUCUUUUUUUUUUUCCAGAAGGUUCUGGAUGGAACAGACUGGACUCUUUCAAUAAGGGUUUUAAUAUGCAAUUUAAUUUACAAUAGAAUGUCCUAUAUGACUAGAAAAUGA
ensembl:lncRNA